rnacentral:misc_RNA from 1 species
UGAAGCGAUACCACAGGUCCUGUUCUGUGAUGUCGUCUGAAAAUCUUGUGAAGUAGAAGGUCGAAACAUCCUGCUUAUCCCUCCAGUUUUCUCGUUUGUAGUUUUGCUGUUGACCAUCCCUAUUGCUGGAGUAUGUCCGUCGAGGAUCCACGUGAAAGCUCACUCUAUCUCUCACUAUUGUCUUGCCUCUAGUCCUAACUCUCUCCCACC